UGGCUCAGUGGUAGAGUGCUUGCCUUGAAUGCAUGAGGCCCUGGGGUUCCAUUCCUCA
rnacentral:tRNA from 1 species